UACCACUGUAUCCAGAGUUGUAAUUGUCUUUAAAGUUGGUUUUAUCAGAAAGCAUCUAUUGUAGUCAGUGUUGGCAUGGCACUCACUACGUAGUUCAAUCUUGUCUGGAACACAUGGCAAUCCUCCUGCCUCAGCUUCCUGAGUGCUGGAAUUACAAGUGUGAACCACCACACUUGGCUUUGAGUAUCCUGUCUUAAUUUUAGACUUCAUCAGGAGGAGUCCAUGAGCAGAUGUAUCCCUAGUCCAUCCUAGCUGCCUCUAAACGGCCUGGUUGAGACCUGGGUGUCCUGUUAGCAUGAAUCUUUAGGAGUUAUAGGUGGGAGCUGUUUUCGAGCUCAGCAAAGUAUGGAGAGGUUAGAGAUGCAGAGAGACAAGAGAGAUGAAAGCAGGAUGAAGUCUGAGGAAGCACACUGCUCUCCAAGUAUGCCAGGGUCUUCCUCAGAACUCAUAAUUCCAAGAUGGUAGCUUUGGAAACAGGACCUGGGAGGGGUAAGAUGGGUCUGGCCACCCUGAUUUCAUCUGUCCAGGCAACAUGAGACUGUGGGAGAGGUCAGGUGUUAGGGUGAGUAUUUGAUAGAAGUGGGGAGUGGUGGUGGUUGAAUGGAAGCUUAGUGGCAGUUCCAGUUAGACAUAUUCGGGGUUACAGUGAACACAAGCGCUUUGUGGGUAUGGUGCCAGGUACAGGCUGAGUAUUCAAUUACGCAUGCUCAGAGAAUACUGUGUAUACACCCACAAAGAAAUGUAAGAUAUAAGAAGAAAAUUAACCUGGUUUAUACAUUAAGCAUUUAAAAACAUUAAUUCUUAAUCCUACAAACAGUGCAUUGUUACCAACAUAUUGUUGCUUAGAAAUUUACUAAUUUCAAUAGGUAAUCAAUAAGCCAUAGUAGGAGGAGCUCAGUGUGACUGUAAGGCCUCUAGGGAACCUAUGGCCCCUCACUUCAUCCCCGCUCGGCCACACUUCCUCAUUCUCCCAGGAGAACAGCAGUAUAUCGAUUUGUUGCUGCUGAUGUAAUGAAUUACUAUAAAUUUAGUGGCUUAAAAACCAGUUAGGCUGGGCAUGCUAGUACAUGCUGGCAAUCCCAGCUCUCAGGAGGCUGGGGCAGGCAGGUCGCAAGCUUUAGGCUGGCCUCAAGAAAGGAUUCAGACUUAUAUCCUUAGGGUUUUUAAAACCUGGAGCCCUUGUGACCAAGGGUUUCUGCAGGCCGGGUUCUUGGCAGUUUCUCCCUUCCAGUUCCACUGUGCGUGCCUGUUCCUCCAGGCAGAGGUAAUUACACUCCCAGCAGACUAACCCAGGUCCCCCUGAGAAGCAGACAUGUCUCCUUUUUAAAUGUUUUUUUUUUUUUUUUAAUUCCCUAGUGGUUAAUUAUCACUGAUACUUGACUCUUUUUUUUUUUUUUUCCUUUUAGUUCCUGAUCCCUAGUCUCAGUUUUCUCUUGGACAGAGAUAUUCACUCAAACAUGUCAAUGUAUGUGUUUGUGCAUGUGUGCAUGGAUAUAUGAUUCUGGCUUUUAUGUGUUUUAUGUGUAUAAAUGGCUAUUUGAUGAGCUGCUCCCAUUUCAGUGACAACACAGUGGAGGGCGUGUUUUUCACUUAUUCCACAGAGUACAAUAUUCCUGGGCACGAUCCUCUCUUGCACAUGGCAGGCCCCAGCCUCCUCCUCAUUUCAGAUGUGAUAGCCAUAAACUUUUCUACCAACUUUUCACCAAGUUGCUGUACUGUUCACCGGUGAUCCUUUUAUUUCACCGGGAUUACAAAAAUAUGAUUUCCUGACACUAUUAGUACCCUUUCAUUUAUAAGUCUAAUUCUGUACAGAAAAACUUCACAUCUCAGAGGACCACUUAGAUAAUCUGAAAAUAAAGUACAUACCAGUGAUAAGUG
rnacentral:lncRNA from 1 species